GGAGCAGUGGUGCUGGCCGGUGGAGGAGCAGUGGUGCUGGCAGGUGGAGGAGCAGUGGUGCUGGCCGGUGGAGGAGCAGUGGUGCUGGCAGGUGAAGGAGCAGUGGUGCUGGC